rnacentral:rRNA from 1 species
UACAGGGGGGGCAAGCGUUGUUCGGAAUUACUGGGCGUAAAGGGCUCGUAGGCGGCCAACUAAGUCACACGUGAAAUCCCCAGGCUUAACCUGGGAACUGCGUGUGAUACUGGAUGGCUUGAAUUCGGGAGAGGGAUGCAGAAUUCCAGGUGUAGCGGUGAAAUGCGUAGAUAUCUGGAGGAACACCGGUGGCGAAGGCGGCAUCCUGGACCGACACUGACGCUGAGGAGCGAAAGCCAGGGGAGCAAACGGG